rnacentral:lncRNA from 1 species
AUCGGGUAGCGACAUCCGGUACCCGAAAUACCCAAAUACCCGAACUAUAUAAAUAUCACCACAUGCGUCUAUAGUACCAGUACUAAUGUUGUUUUUCUUUGCCCAGUUGACAUACUAAUGUUGCUCUUCCGUCCAGUAUGCCAGCACGCCGUGGUGCAGUACUGCCGUAGCACCUGGCCGGACUGCCACAGCUAGCAGUCCAUCACCCAACCGGCCAACCAUUAGGUAGUGUUUGGUUGAAGAGCCAAGUAGAACGGAGCCGUUCUGUCCCAGUUUUGUUGUUGUUUGGUUACAAAGUAACUAGAAUGGAAUGGCUCCAAUUAGGGAAUAUUCUCCUCAGAUCCGGAACAAUCCCGCUCCAAAAAAUCAACCGGACGGAGCCGCUUCAUUCCUAGCCCGCUCGCACAGUCACGCUCCGUUCCAUUCACUCUGCAACCAAACAAAAAACAGAGCCACUCCAUUCCAGAUUACCAAACACAGAAUAGAGCGGCUUCGUUCCUAGAAUCAGGGAUGGAAUGGCUCUGUUCUACUUGGCUCCUCAACCAAACACUACCUUAGUCAUGCUUCUGGUUCUAGAGUUUGCUAUUUCCUCAACUAAUCAAGAUCAGUUUCACGGUGAAAUAUUUCCUAGUUUGCUCAUUUUCUACUCUCACUGCAUGCUUAUGGCUCAAAAGCCCGAACUGCAUGCUCAUUUUCCAGUGUGCUUCCUGUUCUAGAGUCUAACUGCAUGCUCAUUUUCUAGUGUUUGAUUCAUGAUAUUUUUGUAAAAAUACAUGUGUAAAUAUUUGAUGUCACAUUGAUCUGCAAUGAAAUCGGGUAGAACGGGCUACCCGUACCCGAACCCGAAUUUUUCGGGUACCCGAAU